rnacentral:rRNA from 1 species
GACGAACGCUGACGGCGUGCUUAACACAUGCAAGUCGAGCGAGGCCCCUCCUUCGGGAGGGUGUCCUAGCGGCGAACGGGUGAGUAACACGUGGGCAACCUGCCCUCAGCUCUGGGAUAACUCCGGGAAACCGGGGCUAAUACCGGAUACGACCUCCACGGGCAUCUGCGGAGGUGGAAAGUUUUUCGGCUGAGGAUGGGCCCGCGGCCUAUCAGCUAGUUGGUGGGGUAGUGGCCCACCAAGGCGACGACGGGUAGCCGGCCUGAGAGGGCGACCGGCCACACUGGGACUGAGACACGGCCCAGACUCCUACGGGAGGCAGCAGUGGGGAAUAUUGCGCAAUGGGCGAAAGCCUGACGCAGCGACGCCGCGUGAGGGACGAAGGCCUUCGGGUUGUAAACCUCUUUCAGCAGGGACGAAGCGAAAGUGACGGUACCUGCAGAAGAAGCACCGGCCAACUACGUG